rnacentral:rRNA from 1 species
CCGCCUGGGGAGUACGGUCGCAAGAUUAAAACUCAAAUGAAUUGACGGGGGCCCGCACAAGCGGUGGAGCAUGUGGUUUAAUUCGAUGCAACGCGAAGAACCUUACCUACUCUUGACAUCCAGAGAACUUUCCAGAGAUGGAUUGGUGCCUUCGGGAACUCUGAGACAGGUGCUGCAUGGCUGUCGUCAGCUCGUGUUGUGAAAUGUUGGGUUAAGUCCCGCAACGAGCGCAACCCUUAUCCUUGUUUGCCAGCGAGUAAUGUCGGGAACUCCAGGGAGACUGCCGGUGAUAAACCGGAGGAAGGUGGGGACGACGUCAAGUCAUCAUGGCCCUUACGAGUAGGGCUACACACGUGCUACAAUGGCGCAUACAGAGGGCAGCAAGCUAGCGAUAGUGAGCGAAUCCCAAAAAGUGCGUCGUAGUCUGGAUUGGAGUCUGCAACUCGACUCCAUGAAGUCGGAAUCGCUAGUAAUCGUGGAUCAGAAUGCCACGGUGAAUACGUUCCCGGGCCUUGUACACAC